UAUGCAAAGGGGAGCGGUAAAAUGCUAUAAUCCUUUGUAGACCACCUGGGGCGAAGGCGUCUGACUAGAACGGGUCCGACAGUGAGGGACGAAAGCCAGGGGAGCAAACCGGAUUAGAUACCCGAGUAGUCCUGGCCGUAAACGCUGCGAGCUAGGUGUUGCAUAUUCCUCGAGAAUAUGCAGUGUCGAAGCGAAGGUGUUAAGCUCGCCGCCUGGGAAGUAUGGUCGCAAGACUGAAACUUAAAGGAAU
rnacentral:rRNA from 1 species